AGUAUCUCCAAGCAUUUGCCCUA
rnacentral:siRNA from 1 species